rnacentral:rRNA from 1 species
UACGUAGGGUGCGAGCGUUGUCCGGAAUUAUUGGGCGUAAAGAGCUCGUAGGCGGUGUGUCACGUCGGCCGUGAAAACCUGCAGCUUAACUGUGGGCGUGCGGUCGAUACGGGCAUCACUGGAGUUCGGCAGGGGAGACUGGAAUUCCUGGUGUAGCGGUGAAAUGCGCAGAUAUCAGGAGGAACACCGGUGGCGAAGGCGGCUACCUGGACAGAAACUGACGCUGAGGCGCGAAAGCUAGGGGAGCAAACAGG